UAUCUACUUACUCAAAUAGAUUCUGCAUUCAUUCGAGUGUAGGCACAAAACUGUGUCACUUCUGCGGUACUGAUCUAUAGCAAUCACCGCCCCGCCUUCCACCCCGCUCAUGCCUCAAGUGCGACAUGUUUUUUGUUCGCAAUAGCUGCUCUAUACACCUCAAUGGCUGAUCUACGU